AUUGAACGCUGGCGGCAUGCUUUACACAUGCAAGUCGAACGGCAGCACGGGUGCUUGCACCUGGUGGCGAGUGGCGGACGGGUGAGUAAUACAUCGGAACGUGUCCUUAAGUGGGGGAUAACGCAUCGAAAGAUGUGCUAAUACCGCAUAUUCUCUGAGGAGGAAAGUAGGGGAUCGAAAGACCUUAUGCUUUUGGAGCGGCCGAUGUCUGAUUAGCUAGUUGGUAAGGUAAUGGCUUACCAAGGCGACGAUCAGUAGUUGGUCUGAGAGGACGACCAGCCACACUGGGACUGAGACACGGCCCAGACUCCUACGGGAGGCAGCAGUAGGGAAUAUUGGACAAUGGGUGCGAGCCUGAUCCAGCCAUGCCGCGUGCAGGAAGACGGCCUUCUGGGUUGUAAACUGCUUUUGCCAGGGGAUAAAAGUACCCUGCGGGGAAAUUGAAGGUACCUGGUGAUAAGCCACGGCUAACUACGUGCCAGCAGCCGCGGUAA
rnacentral:rRNA from 1 species